rnacentral:misc_RNA from 1 species
GAUGAAGAACGUAGCGAAAUGCGAUAAGUAAUGUGAAUUGCAGAAUUCAGUGAAUCAUCGAAUCUUUGAACGCACAUUGCGCCCCUUGGUAUUCCGAGGGGCAUGCCUGUUCGAGCGUCAUUAUAACCCCUCAAGCUCAGCUUGGUGUUGGGGCCUGCUGCACCGGCAGCCCUUAAAAUCAGUGGCGGCGCCAUCUGGCUCUAAGCGUAGUAAUUCUUCUCGCUAUGGAGUCCUGGUGGAUGCUUGCCAUCAACCCCCAAUUUUUCUAUGGUUGACCUCGGAUCAGGUAGGGAUACCCGCUGAACUUAAGCAUAUCAAUAAGCGGAGGA